rnacentral:rRNA from 1 species
GACGUAGGGCGCGAGCGUUGUCCGGAUUUAUUGGGCGUAAAGAGCUCGUAGGCGGCUUGUCGCGUCGUCCGUGAAAACCUGCAGCUCAACUGCAGGCUUGCGGUCGAUACGGGCAGGCUGGAGUUCGGUAGGGGAGACUGGAAUUCCUGGUGUAGCGGUGAAAUGCGCAGAUAUCAGGAGGAACACCGGUGGCGAAGGCAGGUCUCUGGGCCACUACUGACGCUGAGAAGCGAAAGCAUGGGGAGCGAACAGG